rnacentral:rRNA from 1 species
AGCGAACGCUGGCGGCAGGCCUAACACAUGCAAGUCGAACGAACCCUUCGGGGUUAGUGGCGGACGGGUGAGUAACACGUGGGAACGUGCCUUUAGGUUCGGAAUAACUCAGGGAAACUUGUGCUAAUACCGAAUGUGCCCUUCGGGGGAAAGAUUUAUCGCCUUUAGAGCGGCCCGCGUCUGAUUAGCUAGUUGGUGAGGUAAAGGCUCACCAAGGCUACGAUCAGUAGCUGGUCUGAGAGGAUGACCAGCCACAUUGGGACUGAGACACGGCCCAAACUCCUACGGGAGGCAGCAGUGGGGAAUCUUGCGCAAUGGGCGAAAGCCUGACGCAGCCAUGCCGCGUGGAUGAUGAAGGUCUUAGGAUUGUAAAAUCCUUUCACCGGUGAAGGUAAUGACUGUAGCCGGAGAAGAAGCCCCGGCUAACUUCGUGCCAGCCGCCGCGGUAAAAC